UACGGGGGGGGCAAGCGUUGUUCGGAAUUACUGGGCGUAAAGGGCUCGUAGGUGGCCAACUAAGUCAGACGUGAAAUCCCUCGGCUUAACCGGGGAACUGCGUCUGAUACUGGAUGGCUUGAGUGUGGGAGAGGGAUGCGGAAUUCCCAGUGUAGCGGUGAAAUACGUAGAUAUUGGGAGGAACACCAGUGGCGAAGGCGGCUCACUGGACCGGAACUGACGCUGAGGAGCGAAAGCGUGGGGAGCGAACAGG
rnacentral:rRNA from 1 species